GACGAACGCUGGCGGCGUGCUUAACACAUGCCAGUCGAACGGAAAGGCCCUGCUUUUGUGGGGUGCUCGAGUGGCGAACGGGUGAGUAACACGUGAGUAACCUGCCCUUGACUUUGGGAUAACUUCAGGAAACUGGGGUAAUACCGGAUUGGAGCUUCUGGUGGCCGGGGGGGGUUUGAAAGUUUCGGCGGGUGGGGGUGGGCUCGCGGCUUAUCAGGUUGGUGGUGGGGUAGGGGGUUACCAAGGCUUUGGCGGGUAGCCGGCCUGAGAGGGUGACCGGCCACAUUGGGACUGAGAUACGGCCCAGACUCCUACGGGAGGCAGCAGUGGGGAAUAUUGCACAAUGGGCGGAAGCCUGAUGCAGCAACGCCGCGUGCGGGAUGACGGCCUUCGGGUUGUAAACCGCUUUCGCCUGUGACGAAGCGUGAGUGACGGUAAUGGGUAAAGAAGCACCGGCUAACUACGUG
rnacentral:rRNA from 1 species